AGUGAACGCUGGCGGUAGGCCUAACACAUGCGAGUCGAACGGCAGCACAGUAAGAGCUUGCUCUUACGGGUGGCGAGUGGCGGACGGGUGAGGAAUACAUCGGAAUCUACUUUUUCGUGGGGGAUAACGUAGGGAAACUUACGCUAAUACCGCAUACGACCUACGGGUGAAAGCAGGGGAUCUUCGGACCUUGCGCGAUUGAAUGAGCCGAUGUCGGAUUAGCUAGUUGGCGGGGUAAAGGCCUACCAAGGCGACGAUCCGUAGCUGGUCUGAGAGGAUGAUCAGCCACACUGGAACUGAGACACGGUCCAGACUCCUACGGGAGGCAGCAGUGGGGAAUAUUGGACAAUGGGCGCAAGCCUGAUCCAGCCAUACCGCGUGGGUGAAGAAGGCCUUCGGGUUGUAAAGCCCUUUUGUUGGGAAAGAAAAGCAGCAGGUUAAUACCCCGCUGUUCUGACGGUACCCAAAGAAUAAGCACCGGCUAACUUCGUG
rnacentral:rRNA from 1 species